CCUACGGGUGGCUGCAGUCGAGAAUCAUUCACAAUGGGGGAAACCCUGAUGGUGCGACGCCGCGUGGGGGAAUGAAGCUCUUCGGAUUGUAAACCCCUGUUAUGUGGGAGCAAAUUACAACGCUUGUACCACACUACGAAGACCCUGCUAACUCUGUGCCAGCAGCUCCGGUCAUACAGAGGGCUCAAGCGUUGGUCGGAAUCACUGGGCGUAAAGCGUGCGUAGGCUGUUUCGUACGUCGGGUGUGAAAGGCGCGGGCUCAACCCGCGGACGGCACAGGAUACUGCGAGACUAGAGUAAUGAAGAGGGAAGCGGAAUUCUCGGUGUAGCGGUGAAAUGCGUAGAUAUCGAGAGGAACACUCGUGGCGAAGGCGGGUUCCUGGACAGUAACUGACGCUGAGGCACGAAGGCCAGGGGAGCGAAAGGGAUUAGAUACCCGUGUAGUC
rnacentral:rRNA from 1 species